AAACUGUGCCCAUUUAUGAGAGAGCCCUGUACAGGUGUGACUUUCACUCUCGGUGCAUAGGCAAUCACACUCAGGAAAGUCAGCAAGGCUGCAUGGGUAGAAGUGAUUUUUAGGGGCUAUAGCUGAUUUGCUGAGAUGCUUCCCAACUGAAAGCAAGAUCAAGCCUUGUGAUUUGAAAUGUCUUAUGCAGAGGG